GACGAACGCUGGCGGCGUGCUUAACACAUGCAAGUCGAACGGAAAGGCCCCUUUGGGGGUACUCGAGUGGCGAACGGGUGAGUAACACGUGAGUAACCUGCCCUUGACUUCGGGAUAACUUCAGGAAACUGGGGCUAAUACCGGAUAGGAAUCCUUGCUGCAUGGUGGGGGUUGGAAAGCUUCGGCGGUUUUGGAUGGACUCGCGGCUUAUCAGCUUGUUGGUGGGGUAGUGGCUUACCAAGGCUUUGACGGGUAGCCGGCCUGAGAGGGCGACCGGCCACAUUGGGACUGAGGUACGGCCCAGACGCCGACUGGAGGAAGAAGUGGGGAAGAUUGCACAAGGGGCGGAGGCCGGAUGCAGCAACGCCUCGGGCGGGAUGACGGCCUUCGGGUUGGAAAACGGUUUCAGCAGGGGCGAAGCUUGUGGUGACGGUACCUGCAGAAGAAGCACCGGCUAACUACGUG
rnacentral:rRNA from 1 species